rnacentral:rRNA from 1 species
UACGUAGGUGGCGAGCGUUGUCCGGAUUUACUGGGCGUAAAGGGAGCGUAGGCGGACUUUUAAGUGAGAUGUGAAAUACCCAGGCUCAACUUGGGUGCUGCAUUUCAAACUGGAAGUCUAGAGUGCAGGAGAGGAGAAUGGAAUUCCUAGUGUAGCGGUGAAAUGCGUAGAGAUUAGGAAGAACACCAGUGGCGAAGGCGAUUCUCUGGACUGUAACUGACGCUGAGGCUCGAAAGCGUGGGGAGCAAACAGG